CGUUCCUGGAGGCCAGGGAGGGAGGGCUCCCCCCGCGCGCGGCUUUCCUGGGGCGGGGAUUCCCUUGCCCGGGUCCCCAGACGCAGGGGCGGGGCCAGGGGCUCCCCAGACGUGACCGCCGGGGUGUCCCUAGCCCCGUGUUGUUCCCCACGGCAGGUGGCCCCCGACGCGAGCUGCACCGCCAUGGGAAACACCACCAGCGACCGGGUGGCCGGGGAGCGCCACGGCGCCAAGGCUGCGCGCGCCGAGGGCGCCAGCGGCCAUGCCCCGGGCAAGGAACAUAAGAUCAUGGUGGGGAGCACCGAUGACCCCAGCGUCUUCAGCCUGCCGGAUUCCAAGCUCCCUGGGGACAAAGAGUUUGUAUCAUGGCAGCAGGAUUUGGAGGACUCCGUAAAGCCCACACAGCAGGCCCGGCCCACUGUUAUCCGCUGGUCUGAAGGAGGCAAGGAGGUCUUCAUCUCUGGGUCCUUCAACAAUUGGAGCACCAAGAUUCCACUGAUUAAGAGCCAUAAUGACUUUGUUGCCAUCCUGGACCUCCCUGAGGGAGAGCACCAGUACAAGUUCUUUGUGGAUGGACAGUGGGUUCAUGAUCCAUCAGAGCCUGUGGUUACCAGUCAGCUUGGCACAAUUAACAAUUUGAUCCAUGUCAAGAAAUCUGAUUUUGAGGUGUUUGAUGCUUUAAAGCUAGAUUCAAUGGAAAGCUCAGAGACAUCUUGUCGAGAACUUUCCAGCUCACCCCCAGGGCCUUAUGGUCAAGAAAUGUAUGUGUUUCGAUCAGAGGAGAGAUUCAAAUCCCCACCCAUCCUGCCUCCUCACCUUCUCCAAGUUAUUCUUAACAAGGACACUAAUAUAUCUUGUGAUCCAGCCUUGCUCCCCGAGCCCAAUCAUGUUAUGCUGAACCAUCUCUAUGCAUUGUCCAUUAAGGACAGUGUGAUGGUUCUUAGCGCAACCCAUCGCUACAAGAAGAAGUAUGUCACUACUCUGCUGUACAAGCCCAUCUGAAGGGAUUCCUUCCUGCCUCCCAGGAUUCAGGAGAAGCAUCUCCCUUGCCUUUCUGGACUAGACCAGUCUUACCUGGGACUGGAAGGCUGAUUUGCUUUGAGGCUAAUAUGUGUGUUUCAGUGCCUCUGAGUAGGAUGCUCUGCUUUUGCAUUUGAUUGCAAAUGAGAGCUUUAGGAGUUCAUGGAAUUUAUUUUAAGAAAAAAUCAUAUAUAUAUAUACACACACACACACACAAACAUGCACAUGAGAGGAAAGUUAAUGGAAGCCUCCUAGCUAGAUGUAUUCUCUCUGCCUGUGGGAACUCACCAAGACCUGUUGGGGAGAGCUGCAGGAAGAACCAUAACAGGAAGCUUUUUUCCUAAAGUGAAUGAAGAGCAAACUCAGGAUCCUUGUUGGGUGGAGAUUCUAUCACUGCUACCUUGGCUCUCCAAGGGAUGGACUUGUGCCAGACUGCUGCCCUACUUACAGCUGCCUCCUUGCAGGAGCAGCUUUUCUUGCAUGGGUUCUCUGUAUUCCCAGAGUAUGUGCACAAUCUAUGUUUUUUAUAUGAUACCAGGUGCCCCACAAGAACCCUUUUUCCUCUCAUUUCACAUUCUUGCUUUGUUAACCUCCUUCAGAUCCUAUAUCUGACCCUUGCCUAACACAAAACUCAGUGGGUAAGUGACCCCUUUCAAAGGCUGUGUGAGACCUGACCCACCUUACAGACUAGGGCUGCCAGAAAGUCUCCUUUUUAAGCUUAGCACAGGCCCAUGACACUUUGUUACCACUUAUUUUAACUUCUACUGAAGAAAAUAUGGCUCAGCAUUAUAUGAAAGGCAGAAUGCAGGUCUACUUUUUUGUUUUGGUUUGGUGCCACAGUUUAGGCUGUAUUGGCACAUUCCCAUACUUUUUCCCACCUGGUUUGGCCCUGCUUCCAUGUUUUCUUUCACAGAGCAGAUAGCUUUGAAGGUAGGAGUGAAACCAGGGAAAACUUUCCUGUCUUUCGUCCUUGGAAGAUUUUUAUGUGCCUACAUUUUUCUUUGAUCAAAAAAUGCCUUUUCAUUGGUCUUAAGAGACUGCAUUUGGAGAACUUCAGGCUUAUGAUAAAUUGCUCCCAAUAUUUUCUUCUCUAGUCUAGCCCCCUACAGUCUUACAUUAAUGAGGCUGACUCUGUGUACAUCAGUACAGGAAACAUUGCUCUAGAUACAGACCCAUUCAGGCUCAUUUCAUGUACCUAAAAGGGUCCCUCAACUUAAAGAUUCAUUAGGCCAAGAGGCAAGAAAUUACCCUUCGUGUUCCCAGCCAUGAAAAGUAUCACUUUCAUGCACUAAAUGCUAACAGAGUUAUCUUGUUCUUCUGUAUCUUCCAGAAAGUGUUUGUUGAUGAAGUGGGGUCAGUGAUUUCCAUUUGCGGAGUAAAAAGUAUCUAUUCAAUCCACUCUUGAGAUUCAGAGAUAAGAUAUUUUUCCCCAAGUUUCUGUGGCUCUUCCAUUACAGAUAAAUACAAGCCAAACAUUCAAUACUGAAGGAGGCUAAACUUGUUGCUGGAGAGGCUCCUUGGCUGCUAAGAUGAGCCCAGCCCCACUGAAAGGGCACCCACAGGUAAAUUAGCUACCUCCUGUCUUUCCCAUGUAAAGCUGAUGAUACAGUUGUCUUCGGGUAUGUAGAACUCUUAGAUCCUGUGUGUGAGGCAGUAGGGUAUGGGAUUGUUGUCUCGCUGGGAAUGCAAAUUGCUCAGUGCUUUGGUGGUUAAUUGCUGAGAGUAAAUAUUGCUUUAGCCACUCAAGGCCACCAUCUGCCUCAAAAGGCUUUUGUGGAGAACAUUUUAUGGUUCCAAUCACUUUUAGAAUGGUGUGCCAUUUAAAAAAUCCAGGCCAAAUUCUGUUACUACCAACUCUCAGGAUCUACAUUGUCUUCAGUUAUACUAGAAUUUUGUUUUUUCCGUUACCCAUUAAACAAGUGGGCCACUUAGGAGGAUUUAAAAUCUUGGUUGUUACAUAGAGGAUUUUGUUGUACUCAUAUGUCUUGUCAGCAGUAUUGACAUGUAAUUGUCUAUGUGUUCCUGUAUUAAAAUCUCUGUUCUGCACAGAUAGAUCAUUAGAGUGUGGCAGGAAAAGAGAUUCCUUCAAUUUCUCUCAGGCCAGAGGCUUCUGUGAAAUGGGUCUGUCUCCAGUGACAGUAGGUUUUGGUGCUGGUGACCUUCAGAUCUUUCUAAUCUGGAAAUGUGUAGAAAGUGUCAGUUUUCCAAAUUCUGAGGUAAUCUUUCAGCCAGAUGUGAAAGUGGAGCCUACCAGCUGGUAUGGAAAGGGACCAGUAAGAGGAAUUGCAUGAUGACUCAUUCAGCCCUGUCCCUUCUCUGUACUGCUGAUUAACAUACCAUGGCCUUGAGAAUUCCUAUCAUACUCUCAGUCUGUCCCCUAGAAACUGUUCUAGAAGGUUGAGAGGGAGGGAGGAAGGUACCCAAGAGUACAGCUUACUCAUUCUUUUAUAUUAGUUAAAGGGAUAGUUUAUUUUCUGCAGAAGAAUUUGACAGAUUUUGAAAAUGAAUAAAGGAAAAAAAAUUUUUUAGGGUUUUCUUAUUUGUUUUGCCUAUAAGAGUUUCACAGUCAAAGAGUAAGAAUGUAAUUCUUAGGGAGGGCUGACUCUUGAACUGUAUCAUGGUUUAGGAGUUAUGGGAAAAAGAAAGAGUAACUGAGCUGAGGAGUGGUACUAGGAAAGUUAAGGCUUAAGUAACUCAGAACUAACAAUAUCCUUUUUUAAAUUAAAUCAAACAUACACUGGUGUCUUUGGAUUUCAUUGUACAGAAUUUACGGUAUAAAAAAUCUUUUUCUUGUUUCUAUUUUCUACACUUUCUUCUAUGUUGUGCUUUAAUUUCAUGUGUCAGGCAGACUUUACCAAAGGGUCUAAAGUCAAACAUUACCUAAAACAAAUAUUAGUCAUCUUGCUGGUAAGGAGAACUUCUGUGUCAUGGUUAUUAGCUUGUUUUAAGCUUAAAGUUGAAUGGGAUUUAAUCACUGUAGGCAAAACCCCUGAAGGUCAUACCUGGCCUCAACAGUGUUGGCUUUUUUUUAAAACAAUGCUUAUAUAUGGUAAAGAAGCUCUGUAAAAGAAGAAUCCAAGAGAGGUUUCUGACAGGAUCCUACAAACGCAGGCCCACUCACUUCACCCCAGUUAUUUCUAGUCUCGUAGACCUAAUGGAUCUGAGAUAAAAUCUUUGAAAAGUGUUGGUACUCCACAUAUGCUGCUAAAAUGAAGUUAAAUUCAGAAAGAAGUGUUACCUCUAGACUGGGCUUAUAUUAAUCUGGGUAUAAAUGAAGGAGACAUAUUAAUGAUAGAAUCCCCUGCUUUUAAUUGGGGAAGUAGAGCUUUUAAAUUUUUGACCUCAACUAAAAAUGAUAUGCAAUAGUCUAUGUUUGUGUAUGUUUGAAAUACAUUCUAUUCUCAGAGAUUUCUAAAUCCUCACGUUCUAGUGAUUUGGGGCCUAGGCUUAAGAGCAGAUACACAGUUGGUCCCUGCAUUAUUGUGACUCAUCCUUAAAGCUGAGUUGUUGCUGUCUUCUAGGAACUGCUGACUUUAGUUACCCAUGGGAUGGAGGACCUGGGAGGGAUAGGAGUUAGGGUCUUUUAAAACUCUGGAUCUAGGCGUUUGUCUCUCCUUAAGCACCAGUCACAACUGGAGGUUGAAGGGCUGUGAUUUCUGCAAUGAACUCAAACUUUUGGAGUAAAAAGGCCAAAUCUUUAAAAAUUAUAAGAAAAAAGAAAGAAAAGGAAAAAACUCCAAGAGUCUGUUACUUACGAAAUCCAAUUCUUCGCAGUGGAAUCCCUCUAGGAUUCAGAUUUGGGCUUUGUCUUGAUUUGCUUUACUCAGUUGUGCUUUGAAUGAAUAAGUUUUGUUAAAAAUUAAAUUUUGUUUUAGUUCCAACAUUAGUUGGAGUCGAAUUUUGUGUAGCACAGUGCUUUUGCAGUAAGAUUGAUAUGAAAAACUAAAUGCUAUGUGGAUUUUAUAGUCAGGUUAAAAUGGUCGAGGAGGUACCUACUAUAAGUAUUACAUUAUGUGUUCAUCAUCUUAUUUCUUUUCUAUUCCCAUCUACAGAACACCUACCCAGGUUGCGGUUUUAGAACAGCCAAAGCUCACUAAUGUUGAUUAGUCCUAAUCUCCACACUGGGCCCCAUAUGUGAAACUUGUUUGAAUUUUGGUAAAUUGGAGAAUGUUGGUUGUUACUACACUGAAGCAUUUUGAUGCUGCGAUACAGAGCUGCUUUUCAGUAUUUCACAAAGGAGUGGCAUACAAGAAUGAAU